UCCGGUUUGUCACCGGCAGUCACCUUAGAGUGCCCAACUGAAUGCUGGCAACUAAUGACAAGGGUUGCGCUCGUUGCGGGACUUAACCCAACAUCUCACGACACGAGCUGACGACAGCCAUGCAGCACCUUCUCAACGAUUCUCUUGCGAGCACCCCCAUAUCUCUACGGGGUUUCGCUGGAUUUAACCCAGGUAAGGUUCUUCGCGUUGCGUCGAAUUGAACCACAUGCUCCACCGCUUGUGCGGGCCCCCGUCAAUUCCUUUGAGUUUCAACCUUGCGGUCGUACUCCCCAGGCGGGGUACUUCCUGCGUUAGCGCCGGCACCCAGAGGGUCGCUCCCCCAGGCACCUAGUACCCAUCGUUUACGGCGUGGACUAC
rnacentral:misc_RNA from 1 species